GUAGGUGAACCUGCGGAAGGAUCAUUAAUAGAGCAAUGGAUAGACAGCGCCCCGGGAGAAAUCCUGGGGGCCACCCGACUUCGGUAGGGUUUAGAGUCGUCAGGCCUCUCGGAGAAGCCUGGUCCAGACCUCCACCCUUGAAUAAAUUACCUUUGUUGCUUUGGCAGGGCGCCUCGCGCCAGCGGCUUCGGCUGUUGAGUACCUGCCAGAGGACCACAACUCUUGUUUUUAGUGAUGUCUGAGUACUAUA
rnacentral:misc_RNA from 1 species